ensembl:lncRNA
CCUUUGGAUGUGACCUUUCAGGUGGAGAUGCAGUUAUGUUUUAGUCUCCAGCAACUAACUUAAAGCCUGACACACAGCUUCUCCCCAGGUAAAGGGGUGGUAAGUUCUGGAACCUCAGCCUCCCCCAUAACAAGCCACAGUUCCCUUCUCUGCAGAGCAUGGGAGGCCUUUCUGAGUUGGCCUGACUCUGACACUCAGCAUGCAUGGCUGUUGGGAUGUCAGGGGGCAAGCCUAGCUGGGCUCCCCCUCCCUCAUGAACACUCCCUGUGAAGGAGGCAUUGGGUGGCAGAGAGAGAGAAGGGGCCACCAGCCAGCCCUCCACUACCGUCCAACGGAAGACCAACAGCCCCGGGCCAAAACCCUAUGCCACCUGACACCUCACCAGGAUCUGAGUGUGCACUGUUCCACAUCACCUUGGAACGCUGGAGUCUCAGCUGCCUUCUCUUUGGAAUUUCUGGUGCAGCUCUCUCUGCCCUGCCAUCCACUAGCCGAGCCUUAAACCCAUCUGCACAACAGAAUCUGCCAACGGAAGCUUAAAAAGAUUUCAGAUUCCUUGGACCAUGCCAGAGAACCCCCACUGAGCCUCAAUGUCACCUCCUCUAUGUCAACAUUCAGCCCCUCUGGGCAUUUCCUCCUCUGUGGCCCACUUUGCUUGUCUCCUGACAGCUUCUGCUCCUCGACUGUAAGUUUCUUGAGAGCAGGGUCUUUAUC